UUAAAAUUUAUUUUUUUGUAAAUACACUGCAGUUGCUAUUUCCAUUGUGAAGUAAAGGAGCUGUUGGUAGACUGACCACAGCCCUGCUAGCACAUAGCAGCUGUGAACGUUGCCCAUAUCGCCUGAAGGGUAGACAAAAAUAAAAGUGAAACUACUACUAGCACUGAGACACUAGCCAAACCGUUGGCUUCUUUCUUCAGUGUGUCCAACGUUUUAUUUGUAGAUGGAUUUUUGUCAGCAUUUAACCUUCAUCUGUAAUAAUAUGAUGGAUAAUGGAUAAGGCCUAAUUUAAGUUUCAGAUAACAGUCUCAAAAGAAGUCCUGGUGCCCACAUCUGCAGCAGACGGAGGAAGGAGGAAGAAAGGGUGAUAGCCGUCUGUCAGGAACUAUGUCUGAACCUAAGAUGAAGACAGACGGUGGGAACUGUGCAAAGAUAAAUUCAGCAAAAAAUAUAUAGAUGAAGAGUAAAAAGAGGUCUGGGGUCAGCAUUUACACAGUUUUACAUCGAGGUUUUAAUGGUUUUUCUAGUUUGUCCAGUCUAGAGUUGACUAACCUAUUACAUAAGCUCAUAAACUCUCUAUACAUGUGUGUCUUUGUGAUAUAUUUUUAAUAUUUACAGUUUUAGUUAAUACAAAUUAAAUUUAAAAAAAUAUUUUGAAAUACAUUUUCACAUGGCCAUUCUAAACCAAAUAUUUUAUAGGACUUGAUAGUGACAGGAGAAAACAUGAACUUGUUUAACCUAAAAUAGCAUGGCAUCAACCUGACCUCAUUUAGGUAAGUUAAUUAUUAAUUUCAUAUUGAGCUAGGUAGUUAGCUACUUGGUCAAAAUAUGUUAAGGAGUAAGUACAAGUACAUCAUACAAGAAAUUAAACUACCAUGAAUAUCUGCAAUGUAUUUAUAAGAAUAAAAUAUUGGUUUAUGUUACAAGUUACAGUUUGAUCCUACAGACACACUAAAUCACAAAGGAUCUUUCCUUUAAUAAAAAUAUAUUGUGUGCUGUUAUUAUACAUAUGUUAUAAUACAACUAUAAAAUGAAGUAGUAUAGCUGAUUUUUUGUGUUAGUUGUUUUUUGAACCUCCCAUAUCUGUGAGGGAUUAAGUUAGAUUAUCUCUUUUGAUUAAUUUGUUUUAGAGUAAGAAGCCACGUUUACCUUCAACAACAACAUGUUUUGCAAUUUCAUGUGUGGAUGUUCGUGUCUAUGCAUCAAUUUAUCAAACUGGUUUGACAAUUUAUACUUUAUAGCAGGACGUUAAUGGCAGGAACCGCCCCAGGUCAUUUAUUCAGGUGUUCAACCACAACAGAGUGAUGAGAAACUAUACAGGCUAUCAGCUUCACUGGUUCACAUUAAAGGACACUUCAAAUCCCUGUGUUAAUAAAAAGCAAAAAGGAGGUUUAUGCAUACAACAUGCCUUUUAAAUGGUCAAGACAAUUGUUGUUUUAAAAUCCGUCCGGUUAAUCCCUUAUUGUUUGACAUUCAAAACAGGCUUUUCUGUACGAAUCUGUCUUAAAGGAACAAUUCCCUACAGCAUAAUCUUUUAAAGAUAUAUUUUAAAAUAAAUAAUGGAUAUAUGACUAGAGUUUAAUGUUGUGUGCAGGGAUGGAGAAAGUAAAAUGUUGUAAUACUACAGUGUAAAAAUACUACAUUUCUAAUGGAAAUUUUGUAAAUGUUAAAUAAAAACAUAAGUAAUAUCAGCAAAAAUGAAAGCACUUUUGAUUUGGGGUUUUAAGUGACCUCCUUUGUCCAUUUCUAGUUUGAUGUUCCCCAAUAAGAAGCUAUUUGCUAUCUCAGUGGAACGGUUGGCUUAAAAAACAAAUUACAAGAGUAUUUCAUUUUGGGAAAUAAAAUUUUCCAAAAAAAUAAUUUAAAUUUUAAGGAUCACUGUAAAGUUUCACUGUAAACAAACAUAUUAUAUACCUACUGUAUAUGUUGCGCACCAUUGAGUGUUGCACCAUAAUGCAUCAGUUUUUACUUGAUAGCAGUUUUCUUCUUCACUGCUUUUACUGGUGCAUUGCUUAAUUUAUUGCCACAUUACCACCAAUUAUUAAUCAGUAUGUGAAACCAUUGGCAUGGCUGUAAAGUGUGUGUGUGUGUGUGUGUGUGUGUGUGUGUGUGUGUGUGUGAAGACAAACGGUUCCUCUAAGAACUGCUCCACAAUUCAGGAAGUGAAAAACUCUUUAGGGACCCUUUAAUGGAUGUAAUACUAAACUUACAGAUGUGCAGGGGGUGCUUUGCAAGGUCUGUUAUUUACUGUCUUAUUGGGGUAAUAUUGCAUUAAUACAGUGCUUAAGUAAACGUUCUUAUCUAGUGGGUACUUGUCUAAGGAAAAUUAACAAUGCCAUUUCAUACCUAGAACACCACCACCGCAACAUUAGCAGAACUAUUAUCAGCUGUCUUUAACAUAAGCUGUUUCAGCUCAUCCUUAUCAAAAGCAAGUGCAUCUUUCCAAUGCUUGCCUUUUUUCUCUAAAAAGUUAAAAGUUAAUAUUUAUUGAAUGGGAUGAGAUGUUCAAGUUUCCGAGUCCUUUGUAAUUCAAAAUGCUUACAUAAAAACUGAAACGGUGUCUACCUUUAAACUGACAAUUCAAAAGGAAAUAUGUGGCUUUCCCUCUUAAGACUUCACUUGUCCCAUGUUAUGAGCCAUGAUAUACUGUGAAGCCUAUCUACAACAGGUUUUGAAAGUGUUUCUUUGUUUGGAAAGCAUUUUCAACUAUCAUCACCUGCUUAUUAUCGCAUUUGCAUCUUUUAAAUGGAUUAACAAGUCUAUUUAUACAGCCUACAGUCGUCAGCAAACACCUGGACAAACCUGAAAAGAUUUGCGGUGACUGAAAAGAAUGUCAUCGCUGUUCAGUGUGUUCUGCCAAGGCAGUCGCUUAUUGUGAAGGAAAAUGGCAGUUGUCCAAAAAUAUGCAGACAUCUUUAUUAGAUUAAUUAAAAUCCGGGCUUUAUUUCUCACACCCUAUGCCUUUGUGAAUGUUUUUAAUUGUAACUAAUCCUGAUAGUGAGUAAUGUCAAAAUGCAUUGCCAGCAAAUGUUGCACAAUGACACUAUUUCCUCACUAUUUGUCGGUCUUGUAGGGAACCCCAAAUAGGGGUGGAAAAGUUAUUGAUGCAACUACUUUCUAACAAUAAAAUACCACGUUACUCUAUAACAUUGUUUUUGCAGUAUGAGGCCAACACCUGUCAUUUCCUUUCCUUUAUUUAUUUAUUUAUUUAUUUAUGAGGACUACGCACAUUAAUCGUCAUUUUUGUAAAUGUGCUAGUGUUAGCCAUGUGCAGACCUUUUUCACAUUUGACCAUGUCCCACCCAUCUCUCCACCUCUUCCUAGUUUGCAUGUUAUCAUGGUUCUCUCUCCGUCUGUGUGUUUGUUUAUUUCUCCUCGGUACGUGAAUUGUGCUGUCCUCCUGUGUUUGUGAGGCCUGUUGUAUUUCCAGUACUUUCUGGUGGAGAGGAUAUGGUGCAGCUCAGAUCCUAGUGGGAUACACCUGAAGCUUCUCAUUAUUGACCAUCCUCUUCACUUCUACAUUUUGUCGUCAUCAUCAAGUGUAUAUGUUGUGAUUUUUGUUGUGAAUCUAUUCUGUACACAUGACAUGAUGUCAUGUCAUGGAAGACAUGAAACCUCCUUGAGACUAAUUGUAAUAUGUUAUGUUGGCCACUGUAAUUAAAAUUUAACGGACUUGACCUGGCGAGAUGUUUUGAAACCAAUGAAGUGAUGGUUAAAAUUUACAGACCGGAGACAACAAGAAGCCAUGCAGAGCAAAAGGAAAACGAUAAACAUUAGUACAAUAAUACAAUAACAAUAUCCACUAUUCGGUAAAUGUAGCCAUACCAGCAGUACACAGAGACACAUAGAAAAAGUAUUGUACCUUUCUCUUGAGUCCAGCUUGUCAUACAGUAUGUUAAGUGGAGGAUGAUCACUGUAUUCAUUUAUAGUAAGUAGUUUGUAGUUGUUAGGCCAUAUCUUAUAACCCUAACAUUAGCCAGGUUGUAUUUUGUUUAUUUUUAUUACUUUCUUCACUUGUUUAUUGUAGUAUAAGGUGAGGUCGAGGAUAAUAUUGAGAUUUGAGGUUAGAGACAAUUUGGAUGACCUGUCCAGACACAUAGACCUUCAGGCUCACAGUCAGAUGCAGAGUGUUUUUUUGCACACUUUUACACACAUUGAACCCUCCCUGCAAGAUGGGAUCCAAUCCAAUCCAGCAUGUUAGAGAAUAAAUUAGAAGUGGCUAGUUUAGAGAUGUCUGACAGUAUCAAGCAGCUUCUUUAAAUCUAAAUUUAUGAACCCAGCAAAAUCUCCAUUUUCCAUUUUUAGUUUAAAGAGAAGCAAUUUGCUGUCUCAGAGGAAUUGUUGGCUUGAAAAACAAAUUGCAUUGGAUGCAGUGUGUAAGGGUUUGUACUACUGAGAUGAGUGGUCAGAUGUUCAGCAACAUAUUUCUCUGUUAUUUUGUAAGAUGAAACUGACAUCAGUCAAAUCACUUGAACGAACUGGCACAACUAUGGCUGACUUCCAGUCCUUCAGGAUCUUCCCUUCUUUAAUUGAGGCAUUUAUUAUCUUUAUAAAUUAAUCUGUAUACCUUGUUUAAGGAGAGUCCAAUCCAGUUUUGAUUUAGAGUUUUUAAGAGAGUUUGGAAUUAUAUUUACUUAAGAUUCAGCGACCUCCAUCAGACAGGCUGAAAGAUACAGUAUCUAGGGGUGGUGGAUCUAGAUGUCCAGUUUAAUUGAUGUGUACUGCUCUCUCAACAGAGUUCACAGAGUGGGAGUUGAGGAGAGUUGUGGUUUGUACAGCUACUUUAAUCAGGCAGCCAUUGUCUUUAACAUCAUGGUGCUUUGUUGUAUUGUUGCGUUUUCCUGUUAGAGUUUUGAAAUUGUCAAACAUUUAAAGGACCAAAUAUGGGUGACACCAUAUUUGGUCCAUAAACUGGAGAAGUGCAACUAAGGCGUUGUACAAACUUUGUACAAAAGAGGCCUUUACCCAAAAUGUGCUCAAAAUUGUCAUAAAAACCUCUUUACAUCUUUAGCCUUUUUCUUCCCUUCUCCAUGCACUUUGGAAGUAGCUGAAGUUGUGCCAGAAACACCUACUCAGACUUUUAAAUCCCAAAUUUGCUUGUGAUUUCCCUAAGCUUCAUCUAUCAGACUAACAAAGAACUUUGCUUUGCCUAUGAGGAUGUCCUUGGUUACUUAUUUCUUAGAGAAGUGAAAAUGUGUCUGUCGGUCAAUAACUGUCUUAAGAAAUGUUUGCAGGGCAGGGUCUCUUUCUUUCAGAAGUCUUCAUUUGUGGCCAUUCAUUUUACCUGACUUGUCUUUCCAGUUCAUAUUAUAUUUACUUGCUUCACUGAGCUGCAUUCCCUAACCAUUGUAUAUACUCUCUCAAAUAGGAUGAUCUGCACACUCCAAUGAAGGUAAAAGACAUUUGCUGUGACUGUGUGUGACUUUUAGAGAAAAAGAUUAAAACAGAGCAUUGCAUCUCUUUACACGAUAUGUGAUCUUUACCAAUAAACUAUCCCACCUCUA